rnacentral:rRNA from 1 species
GACGAACGCUGGCGGCGUGCUUAACACAUGCCAGUCGAACGGUGAAGCGCCUUCCUUUUUGGUGGGUGUGGAUGAGUGGCGAACGGGUGAGUAACACGUGAGUAACCUGCCCCCUUCUUCUGGAUAACCGCAUGAAAGUGUGGCUAAUACGGGAUAUUCUGGGUCUGUCGCAUGAUGGGUCUGGGAAAGAUAUUGUUUCGGUGGGGGAUGGGCUCGCGGCCUAUCAGCUUGUUGGUGGGGUGAUGGCCUACCAAGGCGGUGACGGGUAGCCGGCCUGAGAGGGUGGACGGUCACACUGGGACUGGGACACGGACCAGACUCCUACGGGAGGCAGCAGUGGGGAAUAUUGCACAAUGGGCGCAAGCCUGAUGCAGCGACGCCGCGUGAGAGAUGGAGGCCUUCGGGUUGUGAACCUCUUUCGCCAGUGAAGCAGGCCUGCCUCGUUUGUGGGUGGGUUGACGGUAGCUGGAUAAGAAGCGCCGGCUAACUACGUG